AUGUCGUGAUAAGGGCACUUUCUUAAUAAUUCAUUAAACCUCUCCCAUGCCUCAGAUAAAGAUUCUUCAUCUAGUUGUCGAAAUGAAGUGAUUUCAUUUCAUAUCUU
rfam:Gossypium arboreum cultivar AKA8401 contig_43139_1, whole genome shotgun sequence.